GGCAAAAGCACCACCUGGGCCUCAGAGAGCAGUGUGACCAGGCUGCCAGCUGCGGGCUCCGUGACCUCGAAUUAAAGGUCCCUUUAUUCGACAAGCGGCCAGAAGCACUACCUGCCGGACACUGAACUGUCGACUUUCUUCCUGGGUCCGACCUCAGCUCCCCCAGAGUAUCUCCUCUGCCCCUCCCAUCAAGGAUGCAGAAGGACCAAUUGUAACAAAACUCAAGAUAUCAGUUGCCUAACCCACACAGAGAAGCAUCUCUCCUGGUAAGAGGCACACUUGCGACCCUCUGCAGGACACCUCCCCCCCCGGUGACACGGUGGAGUACACAGAGAUGGUUGCAGAGCAUCGAGAGACAGAGGGCCUCCUGGAAUAUUCAGCCUGGUCACUGUGACUGAAGAAACUGCUAACUAUGAACCCCUGUUACUCUUAUUAUUCCAAGUUGGUGCCCCAGUGCCCAGGGACAUCGGAGACAGUAGAACACUCAGAUUUUUCAUAAAGUUCUAGUAAAAAGAAUGUAACCCUC